UACGAAGGGGGCUAGCGUUGCUCGGAAUCACUGGGCGUAAAGCGCACGUAGGCGGGUCUUUAAGUCAGGGGUGAAAUCCUGGAGCUCAACUCCAGAACUGCCUUUGAUACUGAGGAUCUCGAGUCCGGGAGAGGUGAGUGGAACUCCGAGUGUAGAGGUGAAAUUCGUAGAUAUCGAGAGGAACACCGGUGGCGAAGGCGGCGAUCUGGACGAUGACUGACGCUGAGACGCGAAAGCGUGGGGAGCAAACAGG
rnacentral:rRNA from 1 species